rnacentral:rRNA from 1 species
CCGCGGUAAUACGUAGGGUGCAAGCGUUAAUCGGAAUUACUGGGCGUAAAGCGUGCGCAGGCGGUUCGGAAAGAAAGAUGUGAAAUCCCAGAGCUUAACUUUGGAACUGCAUUUUUAACUACCGGGCUAGAGUGUGUCAGAGGGAGGUGGAAUUCCGCGUGUAGCAGUGAAAUGCGUAGAUAUGCGGAGGAACACCGAUGGCGAAGGCAGCCUCCUGGGAUAACACUGACGCUCAUGCACGAAAGCGUGGGGAGCAAACAGGAUUAGAUACCCUGGUAGUCCACGCCCUAAACGAUGUCAACUAGCUGUUGGGGCCUUCGGGCCUUGGUAGCGCAGCUAACGCGUGAAGUUGACCGCCUGGGGAGUACGGUCGCAAGAUUAAAACUCAAAGGAAUUGACGGGGACCCGCACAAGCGGUGGAUGAUGUGGAUUAAUUCGAUGCAACGCGAAAAACCUUACCUACCCUUGACAUGUCUAAAAUGCUGAAGAGAUUUGGCAGUGCUCGCAAGAGAACCGGAACAUCAGUGGUUGGGA